UGCUCUUGUUAAGAGCAAGCCCAUUUAACAGCGGCCUUAGGUACAAAGGGCCUUUAGAAGGCAACAGCUGGCACGAGUCCUGGAGAUCUGAAGGGAGGAGCCUAGCGGGAUCAAACAAGCCAUGGAAGCCCUGUCACAUGCACUGAUAUUUGAGGCAGCCGAACAGCUCACUCCACCUCAGGGAUUAAACACGACUGGUGCCUUCACCUCUCCCGCCUGGCAAGCUUGCGUGUGGCUCAGGCUCUGCAUCUGUACCACGCAAGGAGAUUCCUGCACUACAGGGAGAACAUGCCACCCUCUGAACACAGCUCAAGGGCCACCCCUUGGAACAGAGAAGAGUGGAGAGGGCCCAGAAUGAUUAAACCUGCCCUGGAUCCCAUCCAAGCCAGCGAUUUCCUCCUCACGCUCAACACUUCCUAUCUUAGCUGAAUGCAGCCUGGCCACCAGCUCUGAUUUCUUCUGAUCACCAGCUGCCAGCCCUCGCUGGGGGCACAGCUCUUCUGCCUGCUCCCGGGGGGGAGGGGCUCUGCAACCUCCUUUGCUCUGCCUGCCUUUUCUGUGCCUCUCCUCAGCUUGUA